GUAAGGUUUAAGGUUUUUGGCGUUAGGGUUAAAAUCACUGUCCAAAACCUUUGUAGGAACUCUUUUCCAAGCUUUUGGAGUUAGUUUGACCAAAAAGAAAUGAAAAAUGAAAAAAAAAUAUUUGUGGUGUUCGGGCUUCCUGAAGAUAAUACACGGGUAUUAGGUUUUGGGGCUAGGGUAAGGUUUAAGGUUUUUGGCGUUAGGGUUAAAAUCACUGUCCAAAACCUUUGUAGGAACUCUUUUCCAACCUUUUGGAGUUAGUUAGACCAAAAAAAAUGAAAAAUGAAAAAGAAAUAUUUGGGGUGUUCGGGCUUCCUGAAGGUAAUACCCGGGUAUUAGGUUUUGGGGCUAGGGUAAGGUUUAAGGUUUUUGGCAUUAGGGUUAAAAUCACUGUCCAAAACCUAUUUAGGAACAUGUUUCAGACCUUUUGGAGUUGGUUACACCAAAUAAAAAUAAAAAAUAAAAAAUAAAUAUUUGGGGUGUUCGGGCUUCCUGAAGGUAAUACCCGGGUAUAAGUUUUGGGGCUAUGGUAAGGUUUAAGGUUUUUGGCGUUAGGGUUAAAAUCACUGUCCAAAACCUUUGUAGGAACUCUUUUCCAACCUUUUGGAGUUAGUUAGACCAAAUAAAAAUGAAAAAUGAAAAAAAAAAUAUUUGGGGUGUUUGGGCUUCCUGAAGGUAAUACCCGGGUAUUAAGAGUUGGGGCUAGGGUAAGGUUUAAGGUUUUGGCGUUAGGGUUUAAAUCACUAUCCAAAACCUUUGUAGGAACUGUUUUCCAACCUUUUGGAGUUAGUUAGACCAAAUAAAAAUGAAAAAUGAAAAAAUAUAUAUUUGGGGUGUUUGGGCUUCCUGAAGGUAAUACCCGGGUAUUAAGAGUUGGGGCUAGGGUAAGGUUAAAGGUUUUGGCGUUAGGGUUUAAAUCACUGUCCAAAACCUUUGUAGGAACUGUUUUCCAACCUUUUGGGAGUUAGUUAGACCAAAUAAAAAUGAAAAAUGAAAAAAAAUAUAUUUGGGGUGUUUGGGCUUCCUGAAGGUAAUACCCGGGUAUUAAGAGUUGGGGCUAGGGUAAGGUUUAAGGUUUUGGGCGUUAGGGUUUAAAUCACUGUCCAAAACGUUUGUAGGAACUAUUUUCCAAGCUUUGGGAGUUAGUUAGACCAAAAUGAAAUGAAAAAUGAAAAAAAAAUAUUUGUGGUGUUUGGGCUUCCUGAAGAUAAUACACGGGUAUUAGGUUUUGGGGCUAGGGAAAGGUUUAAGGUUUUUGGCGUUAGGGUUAAAAUCACUGUCCAAAACCUUUGUAGGAACUCUUUUCCAACCUUUUGGAGUUAGUUAGACCAAAAAAAAAGAAAAAUGAAAAAAAACAAUAUUUGGGGUGUUUGGGCUUCCUGAAGGUAAUACCCGGGUAUUAAGAUUUGGGGCUAGGGUAAGGUUUAAGGUUUUGGCGUUAGGGUUUAAAUCACUGUCCAAAACGUUUGUAGGAACUAUUUUCCAAGCUUUUGGAGUUAGUUAGACCAAAAAGAAAUGAAAAAUGAAAAAAAAAUAUUUGGGGUGUUCGGGCUUCCUGAAGAUAAUACACGGGUAUUAGGUUUUGGGGCUAGGGAAAGGUUUAAGGUUUUUGGCGUUAGGGUUAAAAUCACUGUCCAAAACCUUUGUAGGAACUGUUUUCCAACCAUUUGGAGUUAGUUAGACCAAAUAAAAAUGAAAAAUGAAAAAAAUAUAUUUGGGGUGUUUGGGCUUCCUGAAGGUAAUACCCGGGUAUGAAGAUUUGGGGCUAGGGUAAGGUUAAAGGUUUUGGCGUUAGGGUUAAAAUCACUGUCCAAAACCUUUGUAGGAACUAUUUUCCAAGCUUUGGGAGUUAGUUAGACCAAAAGGAAAUGAAAAAUGAAAAAAAAAUAUUUGGGGUUUUCGGGAUUCCUGAAGGUAAUACCCGGGUAUUAGGUUUUGGGGCUAGGGGAAGGUUUAAGGUUUUUGGCGUUAGGGUUAAAAUGACUGUCCAAAACCUAUUUAGGAACAUGUUUCAGACCUUUUGGAGUUGGUUACACCAAAUAAAAAUAAAAAAUAAAAAAUAAAUAUUUGGGGUGUUCGGGCUUCCUGAAGGUAAUACCCGGGUAUUAAGUUUUGGGGCUAUGGGGAAGGUUUAAGGUUUUUGGCGUUAGGGUUAAAAUCACUGUCCAAAACCUUUGUAGGAACUCUUUUCCAAGCUUUUGGAGUUAGUUUGACCAAAAAGAAAUGAAAAAUGAAAAAAAAAUAUUUGUGGUGUUCGGGCUUCCUGAAGAUAAUACCCGGGUAUUAGGUUUUGUGGCUAGGGAAAGGUUUAAGGUUUUUGGCGUUAGGGUUAAAAUCAC